GCCUAAAUACCAUAAAGGUACCAAAUUCCAUUUGAUCUUGGAAGUGAAGCUAAUCAGGCUUGACCCUGGUUAGUACUUGGAUGGGAGACCAUCAAUGAUUACUAGGUACUGAAGGCU
rnacentral:rRNA from 11 species